AACAGUUUGACAACACUCCGGUGCCAGGUUAUGACUAUCAAUCGAUUUUCAUUUUAUUACUACCGUACUUGGUUCCUAUUUAAGUUUCAAACAAGAUCUAAUUGACAUUUACUCACCAAGAUAACUCUUAUUCCAUAGUUAUAUUGGUCCAUCUUUCACUUUGUCAGAUAU
rnacentral:snoRNA from 1 species